UUGCAGUUGUUUGCAUAAUUACUAGUCUGUGCCUGGUGGUAUGGUCUAUUUCCAUUCUGCAUUUCGAUAGUAAUACCCUUGUGAGCAACCUGUGGUUAGUGAGCAACUUGAGAUCACAAUACUGGUUUUGUGGAGUCCAAAAGUAAACUUAGUGCUGAUAGCCUCCAGAUUCUCAAACUCUU